rnacentral:rRNA from 1 species
CAGCCGCCGCGGUAAUACGAAGGGUGCAAGCGUUACUCGGAAUUACUGGGCGUAAAGCGUGCGUAGGUGGUGGUUUAAGUCCGUUGUGAAAGCCCUGGGCUCAACCUGGGAAUUGCAGUGGAUACUGGGUCACUAGAGUGUGGUAGAGGAUAGUGAAAUUUCCGGUGUAGCAGUGAAAUGCGUAGAGAUCGGAAGGAACAUCUGUGGCGAAGGCGACUAUCUGGGCCAACACUGACACUGAGGCACGAAAGCGUGGGGAGCAAACAGGAUUAGAUACCCCCGUAGUCCCUGUCUCUUAUAA